CAGUGCAGAUAUUGGUAUUGUUGAAGUUUUCUAAGUACACAAGAAAUACAGAAGUUCAGAGUUUCGAGGCACCCUAAAGUCAUGUUGUCUAACUAUCCAUUUUACCCAUGACUGCCACAUUCCACCAAAUGAGGGGCAAGCACCCUUGGCAUUAGACCUUCCUAGGAGCAGAAUCUCUUUGCCUUCUACACAACCCCUCACCUACUGAGAACCUGCAGUGCACCAGCUGCUGUGCCAGGGGCCUAGGGACCUCAAGAGGCAAGUUUGUGGGCACAGAGAACAAGAGUGGUAUAGACAAGGGUCAAACAAAAAGUGAGAUGGUUCCAAACGCUGAGUCAAAACAAAACGAAACAACCUAUAACAUGAGAUAGUAAUUCCCACUUUGCCAUCCUCCCCACCUUUGCCCUUCCCAGACCCCAAGCCUGGCCAGACUGACAGUUGUUACAGCAAGCCUUCAGAAUUGGUCUUAUUUUAUGUUCUGAAAAAUGUUGUUCCACCAUUCAAGUAGUGUUAUGUUGACCCACACUCCCUGUGGAAAGAUUUCUUGACCUUAAUCUUCUAAUAGUUAAGACAACACUGAAAAAGAAUGGGGAGGGUUGUUUUCCCAACUUUUGUUCUCUCCUGUUUCCCUCUGGUCUUAUCUGAGAGUGAUCUCGGGGACUUUAUGGGACUCCUGAGAACCCAGGGAUGGUCAGGGUGUCCCGGUCAUUUCCUAGCCUCAUCCUUCCCCCAGCCUGACUCAGUACAGCCUGUAGACACUACAGGUAAGCUGCCAACACGCUGUCUCAGAGCCUGCCAAGCAGGGAGAGGAGGAGGAGCAUCAGGUGCCACACCAGAGUACAGGAAGCCACACUGGGGAGCAAGGAGAACAUUUCCCUGUCUCCCAGUCCUGCAGAAGCGGCACCCCCAGGAAGAGUCUUCAGAGAGACAGCCUCUGUGAAGGUGUUGAGGGGAUGAUGGUGUUUAUGAACCCUGGAACUCAGGGCCCAACAGGUAUGAAGGGACUCACUGGGCUGGAAUCUUGGGUUGUUGGGUCAGAGGAGUAUGGGCAUGAUGGUAUGGAUGAAUCUGGAAGGUUAUAGAGAAAGCUUAGAAACACGGCAAUCAAACCAGUCGAUCCCAAAGGAAAUCAACCCUGAACAUUCAUUGGAAGGACUGAUGCUGGAGCUGAAGUUCCAAACCUUUGGUCACCUGAUGCAAAGAGCCUGAUGCUGGGAAAUACUGAGGGCAGGAGAAAGGGGUGACAGGGGAUGAUAUGUUUGGAUGGCAUCACUGAUUCAAUGGACAUGAGCAUGAACAAACUCCCGGAGAUUGUGAAGAACAGGGAAGCCUGGCAUGCUGCAGUCCAUGGGGUUGCAGAGUCGGACACAACUGAGCGACUGAACAACAACUUGGUCCUCAGCACCCAAACACAAAGCUGGAUCUGUUUAAGUGUUUACUGACUCAGGACCUGGCCAGAUUGGGAAGGGAGGUGGGGCUGGGUUUACAGGUGGCAAGUGGGACAAAGGAUGUCAAGGCAGGUAACCUGCGACACUAUCUCAGCAAAGAAGGCCUUACGAGGUCUCAGAAGGCUGGUGACCUGAGUUGAAUUUUCAGGAACAGAAUCUCUCAGCCUCUCCCUACCCUGUCCAGGGAGAAAUAUGGUUUAGGCCUUGUUAGAGAUGACACUCUGGAGUAAUUCAUCCUACGGCUGUCAUCCUGUGCUCUCUGCAGCCUCCACUCCCUUGUGAGGGGUCUGAAAUCUGGGACUGGGCUCUACCUUUAUUGUAAUUUCUGUUCUCAUCAUUUAUGUCCCAAGUGAGAUUGUAAUCUCCAUGAGGGCAGGGAACAGAUCUAUUUCCACAGAUCAAUUUCCAGCACAAUGCUGGCACUCAGUAAAUAUUUGGUGGAAGAAUGAAUACCUUUGGCAGCUAUCAUUACUGUGCACAAGCAUUCA
rnacentral:lncRNA from 1 species